AUUGAACGCUGGCGGCAGGCCUAACACAUGCAAGUCGAGCGAGCGGCGGACGGGUGAGUAAUGUCUGGGAAACUGCCUGAUGGAGGGGGAUAACUACUGGAAAAGGUAGCUAAUACCGCAUACCAUCAGAUGGUCCCAGAGGGGAUUAGCUAGUAGGUGGGGGAGUGGCUCACCUAGGCGACGAUCCCUAGCUGGUCUGAGAGGAUGACCAGCCACACUGGAACUGAGACACGGUCCAUACUCCCACGUGAGGCAGCAGUGGUGAAUAUUGCACAAUUGGCGCAAGCCUGAUGCAGCCAUGCCGCGUGUAUGAAGAAGGCCUUCGGGUUUUAAAGUACUUUCAGCGAGGAGGCGUUACUCGCAGAAGAAGCACCGGCUAACUCCGUGCCAGCAGCCGCGGUAAUUC
rnacentral:rRNA from 1 species